rnacentral:lncRNA from 1 species
GCCAUAUUACACAUGCUUGGUGCUUCAAACUGAGUUAUCAAUGUUUUUCUGGAUGCAAAGCCAUCUGAUGCUGGAUGCGGAUGCCUUAAAUACUAUAUUUCUGCAUCUAUGACCUAUGAGCUAAGGAAAAACCAAGGACAAUUCCAGAAAUGGCAAAGAACACUUAAGAAAAAGAUGUACAUGAGACGAAAUGCUAAGUCCUUGAGCCAGGGCCUACAGAAGUUACCAGAAAGUGAAUAAAAACAGAAUUUUUCUCACCACCUGUUGAUAAUAGAGCCUCACAUGUCCGGGUAUGGACAUUGUAGAAAAAAGAGGUUGUUCCGUUUGGUACUGAUGCCUUUCUCCCCUCCGUGAUGUGUGCGGACAUUGUGCGGCCCCCAGAGAGAGCAGCAGACAGAACAGAGCACAGCAAACUGCCCCCUCCUCAACACAUCCCAGUGCUGUUUUUUUUUUUUUUUUACAGCAUCUGGGUGUCUCAUGAAAAGCGGUCAAUUUGAUCAAACUUGCCACCUUGUGGAAAAACAAUCAGUGUGCUUCAGAUGAAUGUGACGCCAUCACACGCACCCUCCUCUGACAUCCAGAAUGCUGGCGGGGGACAUGGGGCUGGGUGCCUGCUCGGCCAGGACGAAGCUCUCCCUGUGUCACCUCCCGCCUUACGGCACCCAGUUUGUGGGAGGUUUGCUUUGCCUGCUGACCUGAUGCUAACGCUCAGCUUAAACACUCCGUUCCAGAUUUUACAAGGGGACUGGGUGAUAACGUGUCAAGUACAUGCUGCCCAUACUUCCCAUCAAGCCUCAGUACAGUCCCAGCUUAAAGAUCCUCUCUGGCACCACACUGAUCCCUUGGGCCUGGGGGUGGAUGCCAGGAAGCCUCUUGGCCACAAAUCUGCCCUCUUGUGGGUUAGAGGCCAGCCCUCUCUUGCCUGACGUGACUUGUCUGAAGGGCCUGCACUUAAACCAUCUUCAGGCAACCAGGGCAUCUGAGCAUAACCUGAGCAGUAACAACAUAAAUCAAGGGUCAGUAAUUUGGGGUGGAUGAGACCUAGCCAGCCAUCCAGUCAGAUGCUGCCGUGCAGAUUAAACUCCUUACAGAAGUUAACUCUGCAGACUGAGAAGACGUGAACAGAGAGAGUCAAGGGGAGUGAUGACUAUUUCAGAGACAGGAAAGGACGGAAGAGAUGACCAAGGGAUCAAGGCACAGAGGAAGAGGGACUUCAUCCACACAGGAGCCUGGCUCCUGCAGGCCAUGGCAUGGCUCUCGGGGCUGCCAGCAGGGCUCCCCAUAGCAUAGGUGUGCUCUGCGGUGGGCCCUUGGGCAGGGUCCUGAGGACAGUGCCAGGGCCAGGCUCCAGUGCAGCACAAUGUUGGGCAAAGGACUCCUAACACAGCCACGCUGGGGCUACUCAACCCGACAGUGGGGAGGGAAGGUGUGGGUGCUCACAAGGCAGGCAUCCAUAGAAGACGCUGCCCAGGUCCAAGUCAAAGAACUACACGUUCUCAUCCGAGCCCUCGGCACUGAAGACCUCCACCAUGGGCUGACCUCUCUCCUGACUGCCAGAUACAGCAAAGCCUGGCUUACCCAGAAAACAGCUGGGGUCUUCUGCUUAACUCAGUUCCAUCAAACUACCCAAGGGGUAACAGAUUCUGGAUGAAUUUUUUUAAGGGUCUCAAGUUAAAUGUUUCAUUCAUGAUUCACAAAAGGCACUUCAAAAUUCCACAGAGCCACAGGGUCACUGUUAGUAGGUCACCAAUCCUCCUGUACAGGACCGAUGGAGAAGCUCUAAGACAAUGGGCUAUGUGUUUCACCUGAUGGGGUCCCUGGCCGUUUGUAAAUAAAUCUCGGAUAUUAGCUAGUUUGUCAUUUAUCUUGCAGUCAAGCAUACACAAAACAGAAAGACACACAGUAUGUUUGCACUUUGAAUAAAUGAGAUUUUGCUGUAUCAUGGCAGUUUAUAAAGUAUUCUCAAGUCUGUUAUUUGACCUAAGAUCCAACAUUAUAAUCGUACAUUUAAGAGGUUACAAUGUGAGAGGUACUCAUUGAGCACAAUUUUCUAAUAAUCUAAUCACCUUGCCGAUUUGCACCCAGUGUCCAUUUAGAAACAUGAAAUGAAGCUACUGGCACUCAAUUGCCACAUUGCUAGCAUUUAAUAAGGACUCCACUAGAUGGAGGAACAAGGGCUCUCAAACCAAAUAACCAACGACCACAAGCAUUUCCUGUCAGACAAGCCAAGGCCCUGCUGGAGCUGCCUCUGAAGGCAGCCGGCUGAUGGACAGGCCUGGUCUUCCCUCUGUGUGCCCCACUGCCAGGUGGCACCUUACCCUGCGCAGGCGCUCAGCCUGCGCGGUGGUACAGAUGCUUCACUCACACUUGCCGGGGGCUAAAAUCACAGCCUACGACCAACCUGGCCUGGGGUGUUCUGAGGUAGUUCCUGAACUCGGGAUGCCUGUUACCUACUCUCUUUCAGAAGUCAGGCCAUGUAGGAAGUAUUAAAAUAUCCAUGCAUCGCUUUCAUCAAUAAUCACUGUAACUGAGUGCAAAAUAAAGGAAACUUGAGUUGCUUUAUUUAGCUUCCAAUUUCUGGGAGGCUCAAGAAUUAUAAGUAUUCUGGACAACAAAAGAAAAUAAGACUGUGCUUACAGAUCUUGUUCUGCCAUAUUCUUGCUUUAGGAUUGCUAUUUUAUUGUUGCCCUUUCUGUUACAUGGGAUGUACACAUCAGGUGUUAAAAGGUACAAUACAUUCUACAACUGAGCACCACUUUCUGUAACUGAACAGGCAAAGAAAUUACACUGAACAUCAGCAUCUGGCAGUAUUUUUUUGGAAAAAAAAAGUGACUAAAAUGGGUUUAAAUUGAUUAACACUAUUAAAUCACAUCUAAUAUUUGAUACUACAUGAUUCAAUACAGCUAUACGAUACAAUUAUACAAAAU